CCUACGGGAGGCAGCAGUGGGGAAUAUUGGACAAUGGGGGCAACCCUGAUCCAGCCAUGCCGCGUGUGUGAAGAAGGCCCUCGGGUUGUAAAGCACUUUCAGUGAGGAAGAACGCCUGGUGGUUAAUACCCAUCUGGAAAGACAUCACUCACAGAAGAAGCACCGGCUAACUCCGUGCCAGCAGCCGCGGUAAUACGGAGGGUGCGAGCGUUAAUCGGAAUUACUGGGCGUAAAGCGCGCGUAGGUGGCUUGAUAAGCCGGUUGUGAAAGCCCCGGGCUCAACCUGGGAACGGCAUCCGGAACUGUCAAGCUAGAGUGCAGGAGAGGAAGGUAGAAUUCCCGGUGUAGCGGUGAAAUGCGUAGAGAUCGGGAGGAAUACCAGUGGCGAAGGCGGCCUUCUGGACUGACACUGACACUGAGGUGCGAAAGCGUGGGUAGCAAACAGGAUUAGAUACCCUAGUAGUC
rnacentral:rRNA from 1 species